rnacentral:rRNA from 1 species
UACGAAGGGGGCUAGCGUUGCUCGGAAUCACUGGGCGUAAAGCGCACGUAGGCGGACUCUUAAGUCGGUGGUGAAAUCCUGGAGCUCAACUCCAGAACUGCCUUCGAUACUGGGAGUCUUGGAGUCCGGGAGAGGUGAGUGGAACUCCGAGUGUAGAGGUGAAAUUCGUAGAUAUUCGGAAGAACACCAGUGGCGAAGGGCGGCUCACUGGACUGGUAUUGACGCUGAGGUGGCGAAAAGCGGUUGGGGAGACCAAACAGG